CAGCAGCCACGGUAAUACGGAGGGUGCAAGCGUUAAUCGGAAUUACUGGGCGUAAAGCGCACGCAGGCGGUCUGACAAGUCAGAUGUGAAAUCCCCGGGCUUAACCUGGGAACUGCAUUUGAAACUGUCAGGCUGGAGUCUUGUAGAGGGGGGUGGAAUUCCAGGUGUAGCGGUGAAAUGCGUAGAGAUCUGGAGGAAUACCGGUGGCGAAGGCGGCCCCCUGGACAAAGACUGACGCUCAGGUGCGAAAGCGUGGGGAGCAAACAGGAUUAGAUACCCCGGUAGUCCCUGUCUCUUAUAC
rnacentral:rRNA from 1 species